CAUGGACUGCAGCCAGGUCAAGGUGUGUCGUGACCCCGAGGGCAGGCUGACCAUCAUGGCGCCGACCAGACCCGAGGAAGAGGACAAGUAAAUACGUGACCAAUGGACUAAUCCAUAUAUAAACUUAUUUAAUAAUUCGUAUUUCCAUUUAUUGUUUGAUACAGAGUUGCCAUAUGUGACCAAUUUGGUCAAUACCGGUUUUGUAAUAUUUGCCUUUUGUAAUCGAAAGAUUGUAAAUCUUCAAACGUACCAUAUUAGUAUUAAUCCUCGUUAAAUAUUUUGCUCAUUUAGAUGAAUGACAAUGAUGCUUUGUUAUAUAGACUAUUGAGUAAGCAGUGUGACUGCUGAUCUUGUGUCAAUUUGAGAAAUAAACAUUUGUAUGUUU
rnacentral:misc_RNA from 1 species